GAUGAACGCUGGCGGCGUGCCUAAUACAUGCAAGUCGAGCGAAUGGAUUAAGAGCUUGCUCUUAUGAAGUUAGCGGCGGACGGGUGAGUAACACGUGUGUAACCUGCCCAUAAGACUGGGAUAACUCCGGGAAACCGGGGCUAAUACCGGAUAACAUUUUGAACCGCAUGGUUCGAAAUUGAAAGGCGGCUUCGGCUGUCACUUAUGGAUGGACCCGCGUCGCAUUAGCUAGUUGGUGAGGUAACGGCUCACCAAGGCAACGAUGCGUAGCCGACCUGAGCGGGUGAUCAGCCACACUGGGACUGGGAGACGGCCCAGACUCCUACGGUAGGCAGCAGUAGGGAAUCUUCCGCAAUGGACGAAAGUCUGACGGAGCAACGCCGCGUGAGUGAUGAAGGCUUUCGGGUCGUAAAACUCUGUUGUUAGGGAAGAACAAGUGCUAGUUGAGUAAGCUGGCACCUUGACGGUACCUAACCAGAAAGCCACGGCUAACUACGUGCCAGCCGCCGCCGCAG
rnacentral:rRNA from 1 species